GAUGAACGCUGGCGGCGUGCUUAACACAUGCAAGUCGAACGGGAAACCUUUUAUUGAAGCUUCGGCAGAUUUAGCUGGUUUCUAGUGGCGGACGGGUGAGUAACGCGUGGGUAACCGGCCUUAUACAGGGGGAUAACAACCAGAAAUGGUUGCUAAUACCGCAUAAGCGCACAGGACCGCAUGGUCCGGUGUGCGAAACUCCGGUUGGAUAAGAUGGACCCGCGUUGGAUUAGCUAGUUGGCAGGGUAACGGCCUACCAAGGCGACGAUCCAUAGCCGGCCUGAGAGGGUGAACGGCCACAUUGGGACUGAGACACGGCCCAGACUCCUACGGGAGGCAGCAGUGGGGAAUAUUGCACAAUGGGGGAAACCCUGAUGCAGCGACGCCGCGUGAAGGAAGAAGUAUCUCGGUAUGUAAACUUCUAUCAGCAGGGAAGAUAGUGACGGUACCUGACUAAGAAGCCCCGGCUAACUACGUG
rnacentral:rRNA from 1 species